rnacentral:rRNA from 1 species
UGGGGAAUAUUGCACAAUGGGCGAAAGCCUGAUGCAGCGACGCCGCGUGCGGGAUGAAGGCCUUCGGGUUGUAAACCGCUUUUAAUUGGGAGCAAGCGAGAGUGAGUGUACCUUUUGAAUAAGCACCGGCUAACUACGUGCCAGCAGCCGCGGUAAUACGUAGGGUGCAAGCGUUAUCCGGAAUUAUUGGGCGUAAAGAGCUCGUAGGCGGUUUGUCACGCCUGGUGUGAAAGUCCAUCGCUUAACGGUGGAUCUGCGCCGGGUACGGGCAGGCUAGAGUGCAGUAGGGGAGAUUGGGAUUCCCGGUGUAACGGUGGAAUGUGUAGAUAUCGGGAAGAACACCAAUGGCGAAGGCAGAUCUCUGGGCUGUUACUGACGCUGAGGAGCGAAAGCAUGGGGAGCGAACAGGAUUAGAUACCCUGGUAGUCCAUGCCGUAAAACGGUGGAUGCUGGAUGUGGGACCCUUCCACGGGUUCCGUGUCGGAGCUAACGCGUUAAGCAUCCCGCCUGGGGAGUACGGCCGCAAGGCU